rnacentral:lncRNA from 1 species
AACAGUUCACAUUUUUCAGGAUUUUUUUUUUUUUUUUCCUUUUUGCUGAAAUUGGGCAACUCCUGUCGCCUCUCUGGCUCUCAUUUUCCUCACCUAAAAACGAAAAAUGGAAAUUUAAAUAGUUGUUUCUCCCUCAGAUUUUUUGGGAGACGGGUCCUUCGCAAGGAUGGCUGCGACAGUGGCUCGAAGGCUUUGCAUCGUCUCCAGGAGCGUCUGGCGCAGGUGACGGACGGAUGGCUAGCCCCAGCUGACGGAGAAGAAAGACACGGACAGAUCUGCCGUCUUCCUGCAGAGGAUCCUCGAGACCCAAAGUCUCAAACGGAUUAGCAGCAGAGCCAGGACUUGGCUCCAAGUGCCUGGAUCCCAUUUCAGAGUCUGUCACGUCAGAGCCCAAGCCCAGGAUGGUAAGAGGCCGCCGAUGCGACAGUGCUUGGGCUUGCCGAGUUAUCCUGUGGCUCCAUCGUAUUCCAGACUUUUUCCCUCUGGAUGGGUGCAGUCGGUUCUUCAUUCCUGUCCAGUGAGGUAUUUUUCACAGUAAAUAGGUGAGUAUUCACAAAGUGCCUACUGUGCGCCGGGCGCCUGGCCUGGUGCUUCCACACACACAUUAUCUAGCUUCUGUUGUCUUGGAGGAGGAGCCAGGAGGGACGUGGAGGUCGUCCCGCAUCCGGCACCUCGGCCUCUGCUCCGAGUGCCGGGCGUAGGGCGGGUGCUUGUUGAGGUCGGCACUGCCCGGAGGACGUGCCACUUGGACCCUGGGGUGCGGUGCUGGCUUGGGUG